GACGAACGCUGGCGGCAGGCCUAACACAUGCAAGUCGAGGGGUAUAGGAAGCUUGCUUCCUUGAGACCGGCGCACGGGUGCGUAACGCGUAUGCAAUCUACCUUGUACAGGGGAAUAGCCCAGAGAAAUUUGGAUUAAUGCCUCAUGGUAUAUAGUUUUCGCAUGAUUACUAUAUUAAAGAUUUAUCGGUACAAGAUGAGCAUGCGUCCCAUUAGUUAGUUGGUGUGGUAACGGCACACCAAGACGAUGAUGGGUAGGGGUCCUGAGAGGGAGAUCCCCCACACUGGUACUGAGACACGGACCAGACUCCUACGGGAGGCAGCAGUGAGGAAUAUUGGGCAAUGGAGGCAACUCUGACCCAGCCAUGCCGCGUGCAGGAAGACGGUCCUAUGGAUUGUAAACUGCUUUUAUACGGGGAAGAAACACUCCGACGUGUCGGAGCUUGACGGUACCGUAAGAAUAAGGAUCGGCUAACUCCGUGCCAGCAG
rnacentral:rRNA from 1 species